AUUGAACGCUGGCGGCAUGCUUUACACAUGCAAGUCGAACGGUAACAGGGUGCUUGCACCGCUGACGAGUGGCGAACGGGUGAGUAAUGCGUCGGAACGUGCCGAGUAGUGGGGGAUAACGCAGCGAAAGUUGUGCUAAUACCGCAUACGUACUGAGGUAGAAAGUGGGGGACCUUCGGGCCUCACGCUAUUCGAGCGGCCGACGUCUGAUUAGCUAGUAGGUGAGGUAAAGGCUCACCUAGGCGACGAUCAGUAGCGGGUCUGAGAGGAUGAUCCGCCACACUGGGACUGAGACACGGCCCAGACUCCUACGGGAGGCAGCAGUGGGGAAUUUUGGACAAUGGGCGAAAGCCUGAUCCAGCCAUGCCGCGUGUCUGAAGAAGGCCUUCGGGUUGUAAAGGACUUUUGUCGGGGAGGAAAUCCCCAGCGUUAAUACCGCUGGGGGAUGACAGUACCUGAAGAAUAAGCACCGGCUAACUACGUGCCAGCAGCCGCCGUAAUAC
rnacentral:rRNA from 1 species